GUCUCUUCGGAGACAUCCGAUAAAAUUGGAACAAUACAGAGAAGAUUAGCAUGGUCCCUGCGCAAGGAUGACACGUACAAAUCGAGAAAUGGUCCUAUUUUUU
rnacentral:snRNA from 1 species